rnacentral:rRNA from 1 species
AUGUUAGUGUGGAAUGUUAGGGGGCUUAAUAACCCUGCUAGAAGGUGCUCGAUCAGAUUGUUCACUCAGUCCUACAAUGUUUCUUUAGUUUGUUUUCAAGAAUCUAAGAUGGCAAUGUUGGAUGCCACUGUGGUUUGCGAGACUUUGGGCCCUGCUUUUGAUGGGUUUGAUUUUCUGCCAGCGGAUGGCACG